AGAGUUUGAUCCUGGCUCAGGACGAACGCUGGCGGUGCGCCUUAUGCAUGCAAGUCGAGCGAAGCUUUUCAGUAGUUUACUACAGAAAAUGACUGAGCGGCGAACGGGUGAGUAACGCGUGAGCAAUCUACCUUAGUUACAGGGAUAGCCCGAGGAAACUCGGAUUAAUACCUGAUAUUCUUUACAUUUCGCAUGAAAUCAAAAGGAAAGGUCAGCCGAACUAAGAUGAGCUCGCGUUCUAUCAGCUAGUUGGUGAGGUAAAAGCUCACCAAGGCAACGACGGACAGCUGGUCUGAGAGGACGAUCAGCCACACUGGGACUGAGACACGGCCCAGACUCCUACGGGAGGCUGCAGCAGGGAAUAUUGCGCAAUGAGCGAAAGCUUGACGCAGCGACACCGCGUGUGGGAUGACGGAUCUAGGUUUGUAAACCACUUUCAGGAGACAAGAGAAAGACGGCACAACAAAAAAAAGCCCCGGCCAACUACGUGCAAGCAGCCGCGGUAAUACGUAGGGGGCGAGCGUUGUCCGGAUUUAUUGGGCGUAAAGAGCUCGUAGGCGGUUCAGUAAGUCGGUGUGAAAACUCUGGGCUCAACCCAGAGACGCCACUCGAUACUGCUGUGACUCGAGUGCGGUAGGGGAGCGGGGAAUUCCUAGUGUAGCGGUGAAAUGCGCAGAUAUUAGGAGGAACACCAGUGGCGAAGGCGCCGCUCUGGGCCGUAACUGACGCUGAGGAGCGAAAGCGUGGGUAGCAAACAGGAUUAGAUACCCUGGUAGUCCACGCCGUAAACGUUGGGCACUAGGUGUGGGUCUCAACCAACGAGAUCCGCGCCGUCGCUAACGCAUUAAGUGCCCCGCCUGGGGAGUACGGCCGCAAGGCUAAAACUCAAAGGAAUUGACGGGGGCCCGCACAAGCAGCGGAGCGUGUUGCUUAAUUCGAUGCACGCGAAGAACCUUACCUGGAAUGACAUGUAGGAAAGCUCUAGAGAUAGGGUGUCGUCCGGCUACACAGUGAUGCAUGGCCCUCGUCAGCUCGUGUCGUGAGAUGUUGGGUUAAGUCCCGCAACGAGCGCAACCCUUAUCCUAUGUUGCCAGCAUUUAGUUGGGGACUCGUAGGAGACUGCCGGGGUCAACUCGGAGGAAGGUGGGGAUGACGUCAAGUCAUCAUGCCCCUUAUGCCCAGGGCUGCAAACACGCUACAAUGGCUGGUACAAAGGGCUGCGAACCCGCGAGGGCAAGCGAAUCCCACAAAGCCAGUCUCAGUUCGGAUUGGAGUCUGCAACUCGACUCCAUGAAGCUGGAGUUGCUAGUAAUCCCGGAUCAGCACGCCGGGGUGAAUACGUUCCCGGGCCUUGUACACACCGCCCGUCACACCACGAAAGUCGGUAACACCCGAAGCCGGUGGCCCAACCAUUUGGAGGGAGCCGUCGAAGGUGGGAUCGGUGAUUGGGGUGAAGUCGUAACAAGGUAA
rnacentral:rRNA from 1 species